rnacentral:tRNA from 1 species
GGUGAGGUGUCCGAGUGGCUGAAGGAGCACGCCUGGAAAGUGUGUAUACGGCAACGUAUCGGGGGUUCGAAUCCCCCCCUCGGUUCGA